rnacentral:rRNA from 1 species
UUAAAUCAUUAAAUUAAGAAGAUUUGGCGGUAUUUUAAAUAAUUAGAGGAACCUGUAUAUUAAUUGAUAGUCCACGAUAAGAAAAACUUGAUUAUUUAUGUAUUGCUGUUUAAAGAUUAUUAUUAAUUAAAUUUUUAUAAUUUUAUAAUAAUUUAAUUCAAGUCAAAAUAUAGUUUAAUUAAGAUAUGGGUUACAAUUUAUUAUUGAAAUAGGAUUUAAUAGUAA